rnacentral:rRNA from 1 species
CCUACGGGAGGCAGCAGUGGGGGAUAUUGCACAAUGGGGGAAACCCUGAUGCAGCGACGCCGCGUGAGUGAAGAAGUCUUUCGGUAUGUAAAGCUCUAUCAGCAGGGAAGAAAAUUACAGUACCUGACCACUAAUCCCCGGCUAACUACGUGCCAGCCGCCGCGGUAAUACGGAGGGGGCCAGCGUUAUCCGGAUGUACUGGGUGUAACGGGAGCGUAGACGGUUAGGUAAGUCUGGAGUGAAAGCCCGGGGCCCAACCCCGGGACUGCUUUGGAAACUGUGGAACUGGAGUACAGGAGGGGUAGGCGGAAUUCCUGGUGUAGCGGUGAAAUGCGUAGAUAUCAGGAGGAACACCGGUGGCGAAGGCGGCCUGCUGGACUGAAACUGACGUUGAGGCUCGAAAGCGUGGGGAGCAAACAGGAUUAGAUACCCGAGUAGUC